rnacentral:rRNA from 1 species
AAUGCUGAAAGAGAAAUGAAACAACCCAGUUAAGCAUAGAAAAGCAGAGAUUAAUUCUCGUACCUUUUGCAUCAUGAUUUAGCAAGUUCAUCCAAGCAAAAAGCAUUUUAGUUUGUUUUCCCGAAACUAGACGAGCUACUGCAGGACAGCCUAACAAUAGGGCACACCCGUCUCUGUGGCAAAAGAGUGGGAAGAUCUUUGAGUAGAGGUGAUAAACCUACCGAGCCUAGUUAUAGCUGGUUGCCUGGGAACUAAAUAUAAGUUUAGCCUCUUGUCUUCUUUUGCCAAAAAUGGACAACCUUAUUACAGGCUUUGAGAAUACAUUGAGAGUUAGUCAAAAGGGGGACAGCCCUUCUGAAUUAAGACACAACUUUUUUAACUGGAUAAUAAUCAUAUACAUAUAAGGUUCAUGUUUAGGUGGGCCUAAAAGCAGCCACCCUGAAAGAUAGCGUUAAAGCUCAAACAUAACUUACACUAAUUAUACCGAUAAUUAAUUAUAAUCCGCUAAAAUUACCAGGCCCUUCUAUCCCCUGAUAGAAAAGAUUAUGCUAAUAUGAGUAAUAAGAGAAUUCAUUUCUCUCCGUGCAUAAGUGUAAAUCUGAACGGAACAACCACAGAGCAUUAACGGUCCCAAACCAAGAGGGUAAUAAAGCUAAAACAGAAAACAAGAAAUAUCUUUAUACAUUUACCGUUAUCCCUACACUGGAGUGCAAGUUUGGAAAGACUAAAAGGGUGAGAAGGAACUCGGCAAACAUCCAAAGAAGCCUCGCC